GACGAACGCUGGCGGCGUGCUUAACACAUGCAAGUCGAACGGAAAGGCCCUGCUUGCAGGGUGCUCGAGUGGCGAACGGGUGAGUAACACGUGGGUGAUCUGCCCCUUACUUUGGGAUAAGCCUGGGAAACUGGGUCUAAUACUGGAUAGGACCAUGCUGUAGGUGGUGUGGUGGAAAGAUUAGUUUCGGUAAGGGAUGAGCUCGCGGCCUAUCAGCUUGUUGGUGGGGUAAUGGCCUACCAAGGCGUCGACGGGUAGCCGGCCUGAGAGGGUGGACGGCCACAUUGGGACUGAGAUACGGCCCAGACUCCUACGGGAGGCAGCAGUGGGGAAUAUUGCACAAUGGGCGCAAGCCUGAUGCAGCGACGCCGCGUGGGGGAUGACGGCCUUCGUGUUGUAAACUCCUUUCAGCCAUGACGAAGCCCUUGUGGUGACGGUAGUGGUAGAAGAAGCACCGGCUAACUACGUG
rnacentral:rRNA from 1 species